rnacentral:rRNA from 1 species
UAGGGAAUCUUCGGCAAUGGACGAAAGUCUGACCGAGCAACGCCGCGUGAGUGAAGAAGGUUUUCGGAUCGUAAAACUCUGUUGUUAGAGAAGAACAAGGACGUUAGUAACUGAACGUCCCCUGACGGUAUCUAACCAGAAAGCCACGGCUAACUACGUGCCAGCAGCCGCGGUAAUACGUAGGUGGCAAGCGUUGUCCGGAUUUAUUGGGCGUAAAGCGAGCGCAGGCGGUUUCUUAAGUCUGAUGUGAAAGCCCCCGGCUCAACCGGGGAGGGUCAUUGGAAACUGGGAGACUUGAGGGCAGAAGAGGAGAGUGGAAUUCCAGGUGUAGCGGUGAAAUGCGUAGAUAUAUGGAGGAACACCAGUGGCGAAGGCGGCUCUCUGGUCUGUAACUGACGCUGAGGCUCGAAAGCGUGGGGAGCAAACAGG